CCUCCUCACACUACACUUCCAGGCCCUGUCCUCCUCACACUACACUUCCAGGUCCUGUCCUCCUCACACUACACUUCCAGGUCCUGUCCUCCUCACACUACACUUCCAGGUCCUGUCCUCCUCACACUACACUUCCAGGUCCUGUCCUCCUCACACUACACUUCCAGGUCGGUUCCUCCUCACACUACACUUCCAGGCCCUGUCCUCCUCACACUACACUUCCAGGCCCUGUCCUCCUCACACUACACUUCCAGGCCCUGUCCUCCUCACACUACACUUCCAGGCCCUGUCCUCCUCACACUACACUUCCAGGCCCUGUCCUCCUCACACUACACUUCCAGGUCCUGUCCUCCUCACACUACACUUCCAGGUCCUGUCCACCUUACACUACACUUCCAGGUCCUGUCCUCCUCACACUACACUUCCAGGUCGGUUCCUCCUCACACUACACUUCCAGGUCGUGUCCUCCUCACACUACACUUCCAGGCCCUGUCCUCCUCACACUACACUUCCAGGUCCUGUCCUCCUCACACUACACUUCCAGGCCCUGUCCUCCUCACACUACACUUCCAGGCCCUGUCCUCCUCACACUACACUUCCAGGUCCUGUCCUCCUCACACUACACUUCCAGGUCCUGUCCUCCUCACACUACACUUCCAGGCCCUGUCCUCCUCACACUACACUUCCAGGUCGGUUCCUCCUCACACUACACUUCCAGGUCCUGUCCUCCUCACACUACACUUCCAGGCCCUGUCCUCCUCACACUACACUUCCAGGCCCUGUCCUCCUCACACUACACUUCCAGGCCCUGUCCUCCUCACACUACACUUCCAGGUCCUGUCCACCUUACACUACACUUCCAGGUCCUGUCUUCCUCACACUCACACUUCCCGAGUGGCGCAGCGGUCUAAGGCACUGCAUCGCAGUACAAAAGGCGUCACUACAGUCCCAGGUUCGAAUCCAGGCUGUAUCACAUUUGGCCGUGAUUGGGAGUCCCAUAGGGCGGCGCACAAUUGGCCCAGCAUCGUCUGGGUUUGGCCAGGGUAGGCCGUCAUUGUAAAUAAGAAUUUGUUCUUAACUGACUUGCCUAGUUAAAUAAAAAAUAAAAUGUCCUCUUCACACUACACUUCCUGGUCCUGUCCUCCUCACACUUCCAGGUCCUGUCCUCCUGACUGAACACACUACACUUCCUGGUCCUGUCCUCCUCACACUUCCAGGUCCUGUCCUCGUGACUGAAUGUAAUCAGAUUUGACUCUAGACCUUUUCUUUCCUCCUCAACUUGUCAAACAUCGUUCCCAGAGUAUUCUAGAGGAUUUCUGUCCAAUCAUUGUCUGUCUGUUAGACACGCUAGCAAAU
rnacentral:lncRNA from 1 species